UGACCUCAGGUCAGGCAAGGGUACCCCCUGAACUUAAGCAUAUCACUAAGGGGAGGAAGAGAAACUAACAAGGAUUCCCUCAGUAACGGCGAGUGAAGCGGGAAGAGCUCAAGCAUUGGAAUCUCCACAAGCUUCUUUUUUGUGGCGAGUUGUAGUCUUUAUGGGAUGCGGACCGUCGCAUGUCUUUGUGAUGGUGCACAGCUUUUGUUGUGCAUUGUUGUUUGGCGCAGCACCGAGUUUCCUUGGAAGAGGACACCGGAGAGGGUGAGAGUCCCGUUGGUGCUACUUUUGUGCGCUGAUGUGCGGUGUGUGGUCCGUUUAUUCUCUUGAGUCGGGUUGUUUGGGAAUGCAGCCCAAAGCCGGGUGGUAAACUGCAUCCAAGGCUAAAUACUGGCACGAGACCGAUAGCGAACAAGUACCGUGAGGGAAAGAUGAAAAGCACUUUGAAAAGAGAGUUAAACAGUACGUGAAACCGUUGACAGAGAAUCGCUUGCAGCUAGCAGAGACUGGGCGCGCCUUGUGAUCAGGGCUUUUGGUGUUGUGCAUAACAGUGGUGCGGGGGGUGUAUUGUGUGUACUUGUUGCACAUAUGCGCCGCUGCGUUGCUGUUGUUGUGUGCUGCGCUGCCUGCACUCGCGGGGCGUGUCUGCCAGCAUGAGUUUUGUGUGUGAGAGACGGCGAUGCGAGGGCGCCCUUGUGCGUGGCGCAUCUGCUUUUUAUGUUUCUGUCGCACGUGGGACUGAGGAAAUUAUCGAUGCGGUGGCUUUGUUAUGUGGUCUUUGGCAUGGGUGCUGUUUUCGGCAUUGUGUUGCGCAGACUCUUGUUUUGGGAUGAGGAAAGACUUGUGCUUUCUCUUGUGCUGUUGACAGAGUGUGUGCGGGCGGUGUUGGGAAUGUUGCGCUUGCCGCUUGGCGCACACCACCGGGGAGAUGCUGGCGACAGGGCUGCAAACGGCCCGUCUUGAAACACGGACCAAGGAGUCUAACAUGUGCGCGAGUGUUUUAGCGAGCAUGAAGCUAGGGCGCGCAAUGAAAGUGAGAGGUGGGAUGCAGUGUUGGGAAGUGUGCGUGAGUACACUUUAUCUGGCACUCGCAGCACCAUCGACCGAUCUGGAUUGGGGGAGGGGGAAAAGCACAUUUGUGUGGCUCCACCUCCUCCGCUGAAGGAUUUGCGUUUUAGCGCAGAUGUUAGGACCCGAUAGAUGGUGAACUAUGCCUGAGUAGGGCGAAGCCAGAGGAAACUCUGGUGGAGGCUCGUAGCGAUCAUGACGUGCAAAUCUGUCGUCGAACUUGGGUAUAGGGGCGAAAGACUCAUCGAACCAUCUAGUAGCUGGUUCCCACCGAAGUUUCCCUCAGGAUAGCUGAGACUUUUAUUGCAAUGUAGGUUAGUUUUAUCUGGUAAAGCGAAUGAUUAGAGGCCUUGGGGGAGCCACUUCCCUCAACCUAUUCUCAAACUUUAAAUGGGUAAGGCGGCGCGCUUUCUUUGUUUAUGAAGCGGGCAAUGCUGAAUAACCGAGUCUCAAGUGGGCCAUUUUUGGUAAGCAGAACUGGCGAUGCGGGAUGAACCGAACGCGGAGUUAGGGUGCCGGAAUCGACGCUCAUGAGAACCCACAAAAGGUGUUGGUUGAUAUAGACAGCAGGACGGUGGCCAUGGAAGUCGGAAUCCGCUAAGGAGUGUGUAACAACUCACCUGCCGAAUCAACUAGCCCUGAAAAUGGAUGGCGCUCAAGCGUCGUACCUAUACUCCGCUGUGUGUGGAAGAAGGCGAGCGAAGCGAGCAUUCGUGCUUGUUGCGUCUCAAAACUACAUGUAGCCACACACAAGUAGGUGGGCGUGGAGGUGUUUGCGUGAGAGCAAUCUUUUGAACAAGCCGUUGAAGCCUGUGGCGUGAGCCUGGGUGGAGGGGCCUCCAGUGCAGAUCUUGGUGACAGUAGCAACGAUUCAAAUGAGAGCUUUGAAGACUGAAGUGGAGCAAGGUUCCGUGGGAACAGCAGUUGGCCACGGGUGAGUCGGUCCUAAGAGAUGGGGCAGUCCUGUGUCAAGUGGGGAGUUGUUGCGUGUGUGUGGGUGGUGGUGAUAUUAUCGCCAUGCUUGCACACGUGUUGAUUACCCCAGUCCAUCGAAAGGGAACCAGGUUAAGAUUCCUGGACCAACGCACGCCACAAAGAAUGUUUUGAUAGAGCAGCGGCAACGCGUACAAACUCGGAGACGCUGCCGGGGGCCCUGGAAAGAGUUUUCUUUUCUUUUUAACGAGCUGCAUUGUGGGGGGGAGUAAGGGGGACGAGUGUUAGUUUAUUCUGCGCUCUUCAACCUUCGUCCUCACAUUCUCUGACCCUGGAAUCAGUUUGGCUGGAGAUGGGGUGAGAGGCUCGGCAAAGCACCACUGACCUUUUUUUGUUGUGGUGUCCGGCGCGUUCCCGGCGGUCCAUGAAAAUCCGAGGGUGUGAAUGGUAGCAGUGUGGGGGGAAGAAGAGAAGCACUUGUGCUAAUCUAUUUUCUCCGCUGCAUGUGGGCGUGGUUGGCCGUACUGAUAACCGCAGCAGGUCUCCAAGGUGAAGAGCCUCUAGUUUGAUAGACGAAUGUAGGUAAGGGAAGUCGGCAAAAUAGAUCCGUAAGCUCGCGAUAAGGAUUGGCUCAAGAGGUUGAUUGUGUGUGUGGGGGU
rnacentral:ncRNA from 1 species